UACAGAGGGUGCGAGCGUUAAUCGGAAUUACUGGGCGUAAAGCGCACGUAGGUGGCGACGUAAGUCGGGUGUGAAAGCCCCGGGCUCAACCUGGGAAUUGCAUUCGAGACUGCAUUGCUGGAGUACGGAAGAGGAAGGCGGAAUUCCCGGUGUAGCGGUGAAAUGCGUAGAUAUCGGAAGGAACACCGGUGGCGAAAGCGGCGCGCUGGACCUCUUCUGACGCUGAGGCGCGAAAGCCAGGGGAGCAAACGGG
rnacentral:rRNA from 1 species